AUGGUGGGAGGAGAAGAAAUGAUUUUUGUGGUGAAAGAGGGGAGAUUCGGGAGGGAGGCAAGGGUGCAGGGGAGCUGUGCGAGGCAGGAGGGAGCGGCGGAGGAGGACCCGUGGGAGAGUAGGGGAGUAGCGCGGCGAGCUGAACAAGAAGCUCCGGCAUCCAUGCACCUAUGUCGGAGCGGCGGGUUGUGUCGAUUGGAGAUGACGAGGAAUGCGAGUUGUGUCAGGGAGUUUGGGAGGGGUUUUCUGAAAAAACACCGCGAGGACAAGUUUUCUCGGAUGGAGGGAGUACAAACUUGUGAUGGUAAAGAGAUAAAAACGAUGGACUGCAUAAUAAAGGUUGCUAUCACAAGGGGCAAUAUAACGUGA
rnacentral:rRNA from 1 species